rnacentral:rRNA from 1 species
GAUGAACGCUGGCGGCGUGCCUAAUACAUGCAAGUCGAGCGAACGGACGAGAAGCUUGCUUCUCUGAUGUUAGCGGCGGACGGGUGAGUAACACGUGGAUAACCUACCUAUAAGACUGGGAUAACUUCGGGAAACCGUAGCUAAUACCGGAUAAUAUUUUGAACCGCAUGGUUCAAAAGUGGAAGACGGUCUUGCUGUCACUUAUAGAUGGAUCCGCGCUGCAUUAGCCAGUUGGUAAGGUAACGGCUUACCAAGGCAACGAUGCAUAGCCGACCUGAGAGGGUGAUCGGCCACACUGGAACUGAGACACGGUCCAGACUCCUACGGGAGGCAGCAGUAGGGAAUCUUCCGCAAUGGGCGAAAGCCUGACGGAGCAACGCCGCGUGAGUGAUGAAGGUCUUCGGAUCGUAAAACUCUGUUAUUAGGGAAGAACAUAUGUGUAAGUAACUGUGCACAUCUUGACGGUACCUAAUCAGAAAGCCACGGCUAACUACGUG